rnacentral:rRNA from 1 species
GACGAACGCUGGCGGCGUGCCUAAUACAUGCAAGUCGAACGCUCAAGGAGGAGCUUGCUUCUCUGGAUGAGUUGCGAACGGGUGAGUAAGGCGUAGGUAACCUGCCUUGAAGCGGGGGAUAACUAUUGGAAACGAUAGCUAAUACCGCAUAAUAGUAGAUGUUGCAUGACAUUUGCGUAAGAGGUGCAAUUGCAUCACUACCAGGUGGACCUGCGUUGUAUUAGCUAGUUGUUGGGGUAAGGGUUAACCAAGGCGACGAGACAUAGCCGACCUGAGAGGGUGAUCGGCCAAGCUGGGACGGGAGCACGGCCCGGACCACUGGGGGAGGCAGCAGUAGGGGACCUUCGGGGAUGGACGGAAGGCUGACCGAGCAACGCUGGGGGAGUGAAUAAGGUUUUCGGGUCGUAAAGGUCAGUUGUAAGAGAAGAUCGAGAGUGAGAGUGGAAAGUGCCCACUGUGACGGUAUCUGACCAAUAAGGGACGGCUAACUACGUG